rnacentral:rRNA from 1 species
CCUACGGGUGGCAGCAGUGGGGAAUAUUGCGCAAUGGGCGAAAGCCUGACGCAGCGACGCCGCGUGAGGGAUGAAGGUCUUCGGAUCGUAAACCUCUGUCAGCAGGGAAGAACGGUCACUGUGCUAAUCAGCAGUGAAUUGACGGUACCUGCAAAGGAAGCACCGGCUAACUCCGUGCCAGCAGCCGCGGUAAUACGGAGGGUGCGAGCGUUAAUCGGUAUUACUGGGCGUAAAGCGCUCGUAGGCGGUAUGUCAAGUCAAGGGUGAAAUCCCCGCGCUCAACGUGGGAACUGCCUUUGAAACUGGCAAACUGGAGUGUGUGAGAGGAUAGUGGAAUUCCAGGUGUAGCAGUGAAAUGCGUAGAUAUCUGGAGGAACAUCAGUGGCGAAGGCGACUAUCUGGCACAUAACUGACGCUGAGGAGCGAAAGCGUGGGUAGCAAACAGGAUUAGAUACCCGUGUAGUC